UACGAAGGGGGCUAGCGUUGCUCGGAAUUACUGGGCGUAAAGCGCACGUAGGCGGUCUUUUAAGUCGGGGGUGAAAUCCUGGAGCUCAACUCCAGAACUGCCUUCGAUACUGGAAGACUCGAGUCCGGGAGAGGUGAGUGGAACUGUGAGUGUAGAGGUGAAAUUCGUAGAUAUUCGCAAGAACACCAGUGGCGAAGGCGGCUCACUGGCCCGAUACUGACGCUGAGGCACGAAAGCGUGGGGAGCAAACAGG
rnacentral:rRNA from 1 species